CGCCGCACCUGUGUGAUUUGGGUGCUGGCUACAAUAAAGUGACAGCUCCGGCCAUCCUUCAGGGGCCAACGCUAUUCGGCGGCACUUCACCUGCGGAAGCAUAGAGCUGCACUGUACCUAUUUACAUAGAAAACGUACCACUACCGUGCGGGGAGAAAAAAGUGAAGCAGCACUGGAGAAACUUCUGCAGGAGGACGGCUCGGCGUGAAUGAACACCCUGACUCGACCAAUCAGAACGCAGGAGAUUUCAACCAAUCCCGGCUCGGGGGUGCUCCGGUGGGGGCGGGCCGUCACGCCCCGGGUUGGUGGCUCGCAGCUGCUCCCCCGCAGCCCCGCGGUAACUCUGGUCGGCCCAGGGGCGGGAUCGCGGAGGGGAGGCCGGCAAAGUAGAUCGGGCCAAACGGUGGAGGGCACCGGACGCUAGGCAUGGCAGUUUGGACACCACGGGAGCUUGACCGAUGCGGCCCUGGCAAAACCCACGUUUGCAGCGCUCUCUGCGGGGGGGCCCCUCUCUCCGAGCGCGUGAGCCCCGGGACGCCUUCCUUCGGGAAAGCAGGUGGAGCCGACUGGGACUGACUCGGGAGCGAGCAGGAGCUCGGUACCAACCAGCUGGACAUCAGUCCCUCCCCGUUCCUCCAGCCCCGUGCUGAUGCGUACUACCUGGAGAAGCAAGUGCUUUCAACAUUGCUGUACCAUCACGGUGAACCGGUGAAGCUUCUGAGAUAUUAAGCAAUCCAUAACAUUUGUGACCGGUUAACUUUAAUUUGUCAAAAUAAAUCUGCAGUAUUUUGCAUGUUAGUAAUACAGUGCUGGUAUUGACAGGAAAAAUCAUCAUCUGCUUACAUAGAAACCUUCGUUUAGGAGCACACCUUAGGAGGGAAAUGGGUAUACAAUAAAAGGCAAAUGCAGGCCAAGCAGCGAGCCCUAGAGCAUAACAGGCUGAUGUCAGAUUUGAGGAUUAUCUAAUACAACUGUUUAGCUGCCAAUCUGAUAAAGGGAAGCUCUCAACCAGGUUACAACCAGAAGGGAAAAAUAAACUCUGCUUUUCUCGUAGCGCGGUGGCCGUCGUGCCUUCAACACUUGGUUGAAUCAGUUCAUCAGCAUCAAAACUCAAUUCCAGUUCCAAGACACAGGAGAAUCUUACCACACAACCUACCGCCACCCCCCCUUCAGUGGCCCGCCACCACCCCCUUCCUGCCAACUCUCUCCCUCCCAAAAGAAGACACGACGUGGCUUUAUUAUUGCAGACAAGCUUCUUAAGUGAAUAAAGAAUGCAUACAAAAUAGCAUUUUAACUGAACUCAUACAAUGAAGUCUCACUCCUGUUUAUUAUACAAUGAAUUGAUAAAACAAUCAUUUCUAGUAUAUAUCUUUUUUUUUUUUUUUUUUUUUUUUUUUUUUAAGAACUAAUACUUUCAGGGUUCUGACAACCACACUCUAGCCUGGGGGUAGGGUCCACACCUGCCCCCACUGAGGACUGCUCCUUGGGCCACUGUGGAGAAAGCCUGGGCUGUCUGAAUCACGGUGGACGGUGAUUGCCAGCCCAGCCAAAGAGAUGACAGGUCCCAGCAGGCAGAGCCAGAACCCAGUCCUGGGGCUGCAUGCCAGGAAAUUGGGCUUCCUCCAAAUGUGGCCACUACCUGCCCAAUCCAGGCCUCAGCAGGGCCACGUAUGGGCCUUCCCUACACAAGUCCUUCCAGUAGUCCACACAUAAUGCUCUACAGAUUAAAAACAAACCAUCUUUGUACUGUGGAUAGAACAGUUGUAACAAAGUCAUAGCUACAUAUUUUUCUCUACAUUUUGUUUAUUGAGACAAACUAAUUAAAAGGCACAAACAUAGGGCAUGUUUACAUGGACAUUAUAACAAACAUAUACAUUAAAAGUGUAGGAAUGUGUUGCCUUCCUGCUAAACAGAAAGUUCCUAAGCUUUUAUAUAUACAAAAGUUGUACAAUUUAAUGUCCUAAAGUACAAAAGAUCAUUUAUAAAAUUAUUUUACACUAAGUACUAUUUUAUUUUUUACUACGUAGUUCAACCCCCUCGAACUGUUUUGUAUAAUGACACACAGAUACCUGUCCCUGAUGUAGGAAGUCUGCCUCAGAUGUAAGGUGUUUGAUGCUUGAACUGACACAGUGGGGUAUAAACGGAAGUCAUCCAGUUUGAUAGUCAGUCCUGCAAACAUUCUGCAAGAUUAAUACAACUAAAUUCCACUUCUCUUAACUGCAAGAUUAAAAAAGAAAAAAAAAAAAAAA